rnacentral:rRNA from 1 species
AUUGAACGCUGGCGGCAUGCCUUACACAUGCAAGUCGAACGGUAACAGGUCUUCGGAUGCUGACGAGUGGCGAACGGGUGGGUAAUACAUCGGAACGUGCCUAGUAGUGGGGGAUAACUACUCGAAAGAGUUGCUAAUACCGCAUGCGAUCUACGGAUGAAAGCAGGGGAUAGCAAGACCUUGUGCUAAUAGAGCGGCCGAUGGCGGAUUAGGUAGUUGGUGGGAUAAAAGCUUCCCAAGCCGACGAUCUGUAGCUGGUCUGAGAGGACGAUCAGCCACUCUGGGACUGAGACACGGCCCAGACUCCUACGGGAGGCAGCAGUGGGGAAUUUUGGACAAUGGGCGCAAGCCUGAUCCAGCAAUGCCGCGUGCAGGAUGAAGGCCUUCGGGUUGUAAACUGCUUUUGUACGGAACGAAAAGCCCUGGGUUAAUACCCUGGGGUCAUGACGGUACCGUAAGAAUAAGCACCGGCUAACUACGUGCCAGCCGCCGCAGUAAUAC